rnacentral:rRNA from 1 species
GACGAACCACACGAACGUUAUUCGGAAUUACUGGGCUUAAAGGGUGCGUAGGCGGCGCAGAAAGUUGGGUGUGAAAUCCCUCGGCUCAACCGAGGAACUGCGCCCAAAACUACUGUGCUUGAGGAAGAUAGAGGUAAGCGGAACGUUAGCGGUGGAGCGGUGAAAUGCGUUGAUAUCGUAAGGAACACCUGUGGCGAAAGCGGCUUACUGGGUCUUUUCUGACGGCUGAUGC